GGAGAUGUGGCUUUAGUGGUAGAAUGCUUGCCUCACAUGCAAGAGGCCCUGGGUUCGAUUCCUCAGCACCA
rnacentral:tRNA from 1 species